AUGCUGUGCACUCAGAGAAGGCAGAACCUGCCUGGAGUCUUUCUUCCUGCACCAUGUGUCCGAGGGCUCUUCUGGACUGAAAAACCGGGGGGAUUCAGUGUGGUUCCCCCGAUCUGCGCUGAAGUUUUUAAACCCAUUGCAGUGCUGAUUUCAGCCACCAGAUGUGCGCAGUUGAGCCGCGUUGGCUCCCAGCCUGGAAGUGAGGUCAGAGGAUGGGGAUUGGGAGAAAAAGUCAUCUGGUUUCCUGCUUGGGCUCUGACGCAUCCCUGCAUCCUCCCUUUCCCCCCCCCCGUGACCUCCUUUUGCAGACAAAGAGGGGAAGUGCUGCGCACGCAGCAUCCCCCGCACUGCUCCCCCCGCCUUUGUCCUGCUUUGCUAGGGAGAUUUCUUUAUUAUUAUUAUUAUUAUUUUCCCCCUGCCUUUCACAAGUCCAUAAUGGGGAGGGGGUUCCCCAUCUGCUGCUGGGGGCACGGGGAGGAAUCACCUGCUCUGGUUCACAAAAGCAGCAUCACAGCCUUUUGGUGCUGGUUGUUAGGGAGCAGGAGCGGGGAGCCGCAGCCUUUUGUGCCAUUAAAUAAAACAGAUCCCCAGAGAGCAUUAUGCAAGCCCUUCUCUCCAUCCCUUUGUUCUCCAUUACAGGGCUCCCCACACUCCCCACUACACCCCAUUCCAAACAAUGCUGCUCUUCUUUCCCAGCUCCAACCCUGCCCUCCCCUGCUGAUGGUUUAGGGCCCAAAUGCCAGAGCCUCCUCCCAGCAUCUCUCUGCCCCAUGGCAAUAUCCCACCAGGCUGGGUUCACCCUGCCAUGCUGAGUCACCCUGGGCGUGCUGGGAAUCAUUAUUUAAUAGCCCCAGAGCUGUGCUCUGCCAUUAUUCAGCCCCUCGUUGCUCACAGGGUGAGGUGUUCUGGCACUUUAGAUACCCGUUCCCACGCAAAAAAAAAAUAAAAUGCUGCAGCAAUGCCUGUGCUGUGCUCCUCCUGCCCUUCCAGGCUAGCUGUGACCUGCAGCACUGUGCUGUGUCACUGCCAGACACACUCAUCCCUCACCACGCUGGGGAUGUGCCCGUAAUAUCUGCUGUGGUGUCCCGUCCCAUAGCUGAACACAUUGCUUCAGCACAGACGUGGCUCAGAGCUGCUGCCCCAGCCCAGCCCUGACCCCAGAGGGACUCUCCUCCCCGAAAAUACCCUCGGAGGGUUUGGGGGUUUGUUACGUGGCCGCUGUGGCUUUGAGUUGUGUGAGUUCUGGGCUGUAUGUGUGCAGAUAUGGUGCUGGGCACCCUGCUCCUGGCUGGAUUUCCUUCUGUAGCAUUAUGAUUUUACCCACCGUUACCUACACAAGUGCUUUAGCUGUCUCUUUCUGUUUUGUUGUAGGUUUUAAUUCCCCGUUUUCCUUCCUCCUCACUGCUUGCUCCAGCUGCCCCAGAGCACAGGGAUCCUGAAUCUGUUUUCCUCUCCUAUAAUCAAUGCCCGCUGUCCCCUUGUGAACCGAACCUGAAAAACCCCCUGUAAGGUUGACGUGGGAAUUUAAGCUCCAGAUCCAGCUAGAUUUGUCCCUAGGCUGAUUUACUCCUGGAGGAUCAGGGGAUGGCCUGCAAGGUGUCCUGGGCUCCUUGCCAUUCCCCUUUGGCUCCCAGCCCUUCGCGUGGGGCAGCACUGGGGCAGCAAAGCUCAGCUCAGGGCCACCCUCAGCCCCUUCUGCUCAGUUUGGGUGCGUUCCCAUCAGGGGCACAGCACAGCACAGACCCUGCACUGAGGAUUUCUGCUGGGGGGUUUAACAAGGCAAAAAAUACAUCAGUGAAGAAUAUAUGUAUAUACACGCAAUACAAAUGCAUAGGACAGCUGCUUUAGUUGAUGGGAACUGUGUGAAAAGUGCCUUUCCUUAAGGAUUGUGGGUGUAAUACGGUGAGGAAAAAUUGUAUGUUUAAAGGGGGUCAAAAGGAGAAGCAGCCAGGAGAGCUUAGGAGAAAACCAGGCUGCUCCUGCAGUGUUUGGGGGGGGUGUUUGGGACAUUUUCACGAGGUCUGGCUGGGGUCUGUCCGUGUUGGAGCAUUGCUCCUCCAUGGUCUGUGCGGCACCAGAGGGUGCUCGUGCACCGCAGUGCAGAGCUCUCCUCUUCCUCAGCCAUUUUAAACCAAACGUUUUCCUCUCCCGCAGUCUCCAUUUUAUGUUUCCGAUGCAGAAAAUAGACCAGGGUUUGGGGGGAGGAGAGGAAAGGGGGAGAGGUGCCGAGGCAAAGCCCAGGGCUGGGGGGGAGGGUGAGGCAGGCAGGUAUGGGGCAGUGUGAGGGGUUUCCAUGGGGAGAUGCUGGAAGUGGGCUCUGCAGGGAUGCUCUGCUUUAUCCCCGUGCUGUUUCGGAGCGUGGCGUCACUUUUUGUCCCUCAUCUCUUCAUCCAGCUGGGCACAUCCCCACUGACCCUAUGGGAUCUGCAGGGCUGCUCCUGCCUGACUUCCCUCUUUCCUUGCUGAGGAUGCUAAGCUCUAUUCUUGUCCCUUUUCCUUCCUGCCCAUGCACGUUGGAUGGGAUGUUGUCUCAGGUUUGUUACCAGCACAUCACCUUUCCCAGCUGCAUGGAAAGCCCCAGGGGAACCUCCAGCAUGCAAUAGCUGAGUGUUUGUUGUCAUUGCUUCUAUGUGUAGGAUCUGCCCUUAUCUUACUCAUCACUGUGCAGCGUGGGGGAGGCGUGGGGGGGGGGAGUGGGGCAAGGCAGGCAUUUCUCAAUCCAGGAUAUGAAGCAAGCACUGCAUUUGCUUCCAGAAUGGAAUAUCACUGGGGCAGACCCAAAGGGCAGGUCCUCACCGCUGGGGUACGUGUGCAGCAACGGCAGCUGGUGUCACAGUGUCCAGCCGACCUCCGAGCAGGACACACAGCCAG
ensembl:lncRNA